GAUGAACGCUGGCGGCGUGCUUAACACAUGCAAGUCGAACGAAGCACUUUACCUGAUUUCCUUCGGGGAUGAUUGUUCUGUGACUGAGUGGCGGACGGGUGAGUAACGCGUGGAUAACCUGCCUCACACAGGGGGAUAACAGUUGGAAACGACUGCUAAUACCGCAUAAGCACACAGCACCGCAUGGUGCAGUGUGAAAAACUCCGGUGGUGUGAGAUGGAUCCGCGUCUGAUUAGCUAGUUGGCGGGGUAACGGCCCACCAAGGCGACGAUCAGUAGCCGGCCUGAGAGGGCGUCCGGCCACAUUGGGACUGAGACACGGCCCAGACUCCUACGGGAGGCAGCAGUGGGGAAUAUUGCACAAUGGGGGAAACCCUGAUGCAGCGACGCCGCGUGAGCGAUGAAGUAUUUCGGUAUGUAAAGCUCUAUCAGCAGGGAAGAUAAUGACGGUACCUGACUAAGAAGCUCCGGCUAAAUACGUGCCAGCCGCCGCCGUAAUAC
rnacentral:rRNA from 1 species